UACAGAGGGGGCAAGCGUUAUUCGGAAUUAUUGGGCGUAAAGGGCGCGUAGGCGGCCUGGCAAGUGGAAGGUGAAAUCCCUCGGCUUAACCGAGGAACUGCCUUCCAAACUGCUUGGCUUGAGUCCGGGAGAGGUGAGUGGAAUUCCCAGUGUAGCGGUGAAAUGCGUAGAUAUUGGGAGGAACACCAGUGGCGAAGGCGGCUCACUGGACCGGAACUGACGCUGAUGCGCGAAAGCGUGGGGAGCGAUCCGG
rnacentral:rRNA from 1 species